CGCCAGCAGCCGCGGUAAUACGUAGGUGGCGAGCGUUGUCCGGAAUUACUGGGUGUAAAGGGCGUGUAGGCGGGGAUGCAAGUCAGAUGUGAAAUUCCAUGGCUCAACUGUGGAGCUGCAUCUGAAACUGCGUUUCUUGAGUGCCGGAGAGGAAAGCGGAAUUCCCAGUGUAGCGGUGAAAUGCGUAGAUAUUGGGAGGAACACCAGUGGCGAAGGCGGCUUUCUGGACGGUAACUGACGCUGAGGCGCGAAAGCGUGGGGAGCAAACAGGAUUAGAUACCCUGGUAGUCCACGCUGUAAACGAUGGAUACUAGGUGUAGGAGGUAUCGACCCCUUCUGUGCCGCAGUUAACACAAUAAGUAUCCCACCUGGGGAGUACGGCCGCAAGGUUGAAACUUAAAGGAAUUGGCGGGGGA
rnacentral:rRNA from 1 species